GUAGGUGGCAAGCGUUGUCCGGAAUUAUUGGGCGUAAAGCGCGCGCAGGUGGUUCUUUAAGUCUGAUGUGAAAGCCCCCGGGCUCAACCGGGGAGGGUCAUUGGAAACUGGGGAACUUGAGUGCAGGAGAGGAGAGUGGAAUUCCACGUGUAGCGGUGAAAUGCGUAGAUAUGUGGAGGAACACCAGUGGCGAAGGCGACUUUCUGGCCUGUAACUGACACUGAGGCGCGAAAGCGUGGGGAGCAAACAGGAUUAGAUACCCUGGUAGUCCACGCCGUAAACGAUGAGUGCUAAGUGUUGGGGGGUUUCCGCCCCUCAGUGCUGCAGCUAACGCAUUAAGCACUCCGCCUGGGGAGUACGGUCGCAAAGACUG
rnacentral:rRNA from 1 species